rnacentral:rRNA from 1 species
GACGAACGCUGGCGGCGUGCUUAACACAUGCAAGUCGAGCGGUAAGGCCCUUUCGGGGGUACGACGAGCGGCGAACGGGUGAGUAACACGUGGGUGACCUGCCCUCAGCUCUGGGAUAAGCCCGGGAAACUGGGUCUAAUACCGGAUAUGACUCCAUGACGCAUGUUGUGGGGUGGAAAGCCUUGUGCGGCUGAGGAUGGGCCCGCGGCCUAUCAGCUUGUUGGUGGGGUGAUGGCCUACCAAGGCGACGACGGGUAGCCGGCCUGAGAGGGCGACCGGCCACACUGGGACUGAGACACGGCCCAGACUCCUACGGGAGGCAGCAGUGGGGAAUCUUGCGCAAUGGGCGAAAGCCUGACGCAGCGACGCCGCGUGAGGGAUGACGGCCUGUGUAAC